rnacentral:rRNA from 1 species
GACGAACGCUGGCGGCGUGCUUAACACAUGCAAGUCGUACGGUAAGGCCCUUUCGGGGGUACACGAGUGGCGAACGGGUGAGUAACACGUGAGUAACCUGCCCACAACUUUGGGAUAACGCUAGGAAACUGGUGCUAAUACUGGAUAUGUGCUCCUGCUGCAUGGUGGGGGUUGGAAAGCUCCGGCGGUUGUGGAUGGACUCGCGGCCUAUCAGCUUGUUGGUGGGGUAGUGGCCUACCAAGGCGGCGACGGGUAGCCGGCCUGAGAGGGUGACCGGCCACAUUGGGACUGAGGUACGGCCCAGGCUGCUACGGGAGGCAGCAGUGGGGAAUAUUGCACAAUGGGCGCAAGCCUGAUGCAGCAACGCCGCGUGCGGGAUGACGGCCUUCGGGUUGUAAACCGCUUUCAGCAGGGACGAAGCUUUUUGUGACGGUACCUGCAGAAGAAGCACCGGCUAACUACGUG